GUGAGCACCAUUUUAAAAUCAUAUAUUAUUAUUGUUUUAUUCUUGAACAGCAUUGCAUUUCCUCUGGCUAAGAGUAUGUUACAUAAUUGAUCCAUCGUAGAGACUGAAGCAGGUUUAUAAAUUGCAAAUUUUUCUUCCUCUUACAAUUCAUGGAAUCGAAUGACUUGUUGAUUCACAAGUUGAAAAGUUUUAUAGCAUGGCCUGUUGGAGAGUCUUUAUGAGGGAAAGGAAAACCUCCAUUAUUUGAUAAUUGAAUGUUGUAGUUAUUUGAUUCUGUAAGAGUUACUAAUUGGAUGGCGUAGUCAUUGUCUGACUGAGAUAAAAUAAAUAUAUGUAUGAUUGUCAAAAACUUAUAAAGAGAAAUUAUGUGAGAAAUUUUCUUUUCUUGUCAAAUCAAGAUUUGAAUUUUGAAUCGAAAUCUUCAUUUAUGAAUUGAGAAUUGAUCGAAUCGAAUCAAAUCAAAUCAUAAGAUUCGAUAAAAAUUCACAAAAUUAAUUAAAAAUGACAUAUGUUCUAAAAACUAGUAAAAAAUAUCACAAUGAUAUAUUUUGAUA
rnacentral:misc_RNA from 1 species